UGACAUAGGAUUAGGAGAAAGGCAAAAAUUUUAAAAACUUUAGGCUCCAAACUUUAAAAGGGUAUAAAGAAAAAUUUACUGACAGUAACUAAAGAAAAAGUAGUAAGAAUCAGAACAAAACCUUCAGGACACUCCUCCCUCUACAAUCUUUUCUCACUGACAAUGUAAAGAAACAAAACUUUUAGUCAGUUUACCACCUCCAAAACAGUCUUUCUUCAGUUCACUUAGGGAGAGAAGUCCUUCUUGUAAACAGAGACUUUUCGACAAGAAAACAGUUCUCUUGUGGCUCUCUCCACAAAUAGCUGACCGGGGAAAUGUCCACUUGUGAAAUCCCUCCCAUUUUCCACGAGCUUUUCCCACAGCUGUGUUUAUGGGCUAUGUCAACUUAUGGGGUACAGUUUUAAAGAUGAGCUGUUCAAAGGGAAAAUUAUCACAAUUUAUCUCUGAAAUCAUCUUCUUCCUGGGGGCACAGAAUCUUCAUCACUCUUUUUCUCUGUUCAAACUUCUCAUAGGACCACAGCUACUUUAACAUCUGCUCACUGGAGUAUGGAGGUGAUAUCUACAAUUUGAACACUUUCAUCUCCCCACACCUUCAUGUGUCAUAGGGAAAAAAAAGUCCUUCUCUAGAUCUUAAGAGGAUUUCAGCUUAAAACUAAAGGCAUCUCCUCAUCCCUCCCAUCUGGAUGUAUGGCUUCUUCUUCACUAACCUUGGUGUCUUCAUGUUGCUCCUCUACAUUGCCUGCAUUUGUUCUUCUCUCUCACUCAUGGGAGGAUUGAAGCACUGGUAGAGUUAAUAUCUCGUCCAGGGCCUGCAGGUGGUCACCUGACCCCGGCCAGGCUCAGCAGCUUGCUGCCGGAGCUGAGGCCGGCGGGAAUGGCUUCUCCUCCUCCUGCCCGGUGGUUAUGGGACAAUCUCAGCGGCAGUAGGAUCCUGGCUGAGCCAGCCUGGCCCCAGCUCGGCCCUGCGGCCUCCGCUCUCCCGGCCCAUCAGCCGAUGGCGAGGGGGGGUGGCCCGGUGGGCGCUUCAGGAAGGGCGGCCCGGACCCGCAGCAGGAGCUGCCUGGCCGGGCCCCUGUUAUCUCUACUGACCGGAAGAGAAAGAGGAAGUUCCCUGGUUUAUUUCAUCUUAAAACAUGUUUUUCACAGAGGCGUGCACAGCUUUCCAGUGGCUGGAAGCGUUGCGUCACUUCCAUGAAUGUCUCCCAAGCAAAACCACCACACUAAAAUAGCAAGAGCCAUGGUAAAGACUGUUGGGUUUUCACAGUCCUUCAAGCGAAGCUUACAGUAAUCUGCAAGCAAACAAUAUCCCGGCGCUGCACAAGAUCUAAAACCUCUGGGGUAUGUGAUGCAGCAGCAGCAGAAGAACCCAGUCAAAGUUGAAAUAAAUAGGGCAGGAGAUGCUUCUCCAUUUCGGCGCCUUUAUGAAAAGCAACCAGGUCAGAUGAAAAAGCCUGAUAAAUCCAGCAAUCAACACUCCCAUGAGUGACUCGGAGUAGGAGGAGAGAGCAGAACGGUCCACUAGGAAAGCAGAGUUGGAAGUUGCAUCCCCAGAAGCAAAGUGGAGAUAUAACUUCUGCUUUACUCCUUGGGGCGGCCGUCCAGGGUGCUGGCUCUGACCGACAUUCUCCAGGUUAUGGGGUCCCUUGGGUUUAUUUGAGGGUGGGUCCUGUCUCGUUGCAUUCUGCGUCCGAGGUCAGAUGUCUCCCCACCUCACCGUCCGAGAGGAGCCAUCCACCCACCUGGCCGCAGGCAAGGGGGACUAUUCUGCUUCCUGUCUAUUCUUCCUCGGUCAGGAGCCUGGUUUCCCUAAGAAUAACAGUCUUACUGGUAAAGUUGGAGGCAAAGAAGGCAUUAAGAA